ensembl:lncRNA
AAUAAAAAAAGGAGGUAGAAGGAGAUAGGAACCCGAGAAGUUGGUAUUGUACUAAAGAAGGAGCAAUUUCUAUUCUAACAGGAGAGAAAGAAAGAAUAGAAUGGGAACUAGUGUAACUCAGGUGGUAUAUUUGCCUCAAAGAAGGAGUUACAUUGAAUGAUUUCUGCAUUUUUUAAUAAAUAAGAAGUAAGACAUUUUCUGGGGUGAGCAGCACAGUAGGGGAUUAGAGAAUAAGAAAAGACUGGAAUACUUGAAAUGGUUCUUGUGAAAAACAAGACAGCCAGUUGGCCAAAGAACAUAGUAAGAUUGCUGGCAUUGCUAAGAGUCCAGAGUUAGUGACCUUAAAAUUAUUACCGUAGCAGUCUACUCUUUUGUGUUUCUUACUCAUAGUCCUCAGUUACCUUGGUGUAGGCAUGGGGAAUGUGGGCCACUGAGUUAAUUCAAGAUUGAGGGUUUUUUCUAGAUUGAUGUGAGGAAAAGAAACCAGGAAAUUGAUUUUAUUGGCCGAGAUAUUACUGAAAGUAUGGACCACAGAAUAUACCUAGGAGCAAAUUAAAAGCAGGAGAGGCUAGUGAUGAGAAAGAAAGUAAAGGGAAGUAUGACUGAGGGAAGGGUCCCCUUGAGGUCAUUUUAAUGGUCCCAAAGAAAAUUGUUUAAUAAGUAAGCUAGCCAUUUCCCAAAUUAGGGAGCACUGCGCCAUGUAAACAGGAUGUUCAAUGGGGGCUGUUUCUGUUUUAAUUUCGGCUAAGGCCCUAAAGUCUGAGAGGAAAAACAACUGAUACAAAAGUGAGGAGCUCUACCACCUUUGCGAGACUUGCAAAGGAAGUUUCAAACUUAUUUUUGUAACCUUUAAUCCAUUGCCUGCCUAGAGUACCUACAAGCAAUAGAGCUGAAAAAUUUGAGAAUUGUUAGAGUGUCUUUAUUUUUUUUCUUGGCCUCUUUCCUGGGAUAAAGAAGUGGUGCUCCUUUCUCUUCAAGUCAAAUGAGGAGGAUACUUUAUGGAAACUACCAGGAGCUUUGAAUGUGCCUGUGGAGUUUGAAGAGCGUGAAAGACUGCCUUUCCUACAUUGUGCCGGUGCCGUGUCCUUGCCCACUUUGAUGCCCACUUACAACCUCUCAGGAUGGAGAAACCAUGUGUAAGCCAACGCCACCAUUAGAGCAAGAAGAAGUUGCUUCCUGAUAUGUUUCAGCCAAAAACACAGCGCUUUUUCUGUGCUGCUGCUGGAGUAAUCAGCACUCACACUGGGGUCUGCGCUUAUUAUUGACACAUGGGUGAGUUCAUAGGCGUCUGGUAGCUUAUUUGAGUAGAUCGGUACACAUUAAAGUUAUUUUGAGGGGUGGUAUUUGGCACAGCAGUUGGACACCUAUGUUGCAUCUUGGAGUGCCUGGGUUUGAGUCCCAGCUCCUCUUCCAAUUCUAGCUUCCUGCUUAUGCACAUGUGGCAGGCAGCACGUAAUGGCUCAGGUACUGGGAUUCCUGUUAUUUACAUGAGAGGCCUGGAUUGAAUUCUGGGCUCCUGGCUUCUACUAGCCCAGCCCCAGCUGUUGCAGGCACUUGGGGGAUCAAACAGCAAAUGGAGGAUCUCUGUCUGUCUCAUCCUCUCUGCCUUUCAAAUAUAAAUAAAUAAAUGGAUAUAUAGAAAAAUAGGAAACUA